rnacentral:rRNA from 1 species
AAGCUCGUAGUUGAAUUUCGGCCUUGGCUGGGUGGUCCUGCCCGUUUGGUGGGUACUGCUUUGGCUGGGGUUCACCUUCUGGUGAGCCGGCAUGUCCUUUACUGGAUGUGUCGGGGAACCAGGACUUUUACUUUGAAAAAAUUAGAGUGUUUAAAGCAGGCAUUCGCUUGAAUACAUUAGCAUGGAAUAAUAGAAUAGGACUUUGGUUCUAUUUUGUUGGUUUCUAGGACCGAGGUAAUGAUUAAUAGGGAUAGUUGGG